CCGAAAUGCUGAUGUUCCUAUCCCUGAGCAUCCUUCUGCCUUAUGCAACCAUGGCUGCCCCAGUUCGAAUUAGUGCUCAGCAGCUAGCUCCGCAGAAUGAAGUUGACGUUCUGGUUUAUGGGGUAAUGCAGUUCAGUACAGCACUGCAUGAGCUCUAUAGCUCCACAGCACAGAAGCUUGACAAGAUCAGACAUAGGACUAACAUCUAUGAGGAGGGUGUGCAAACACUACAUCGCCAAGUCCAGAAUGCCCAGCAGAAGCAACAAGAGACCAGAAUAAUCUUGGAGAGGCUGAAGGCUCAGGACACAGUGCUGAAGAAGGAGGCGCAGAGACAUGAGGAAGUGCUGCAAGGAGUGUUUGUGGAGCAACAAAACUUGGCACACCGACUGAGGGCUCUUGAAGUCAUGCUGUCAUUCAUGGAAAAACAAGAUUUCCAAGAUCAGGAAGGAAAAGUUGCUGCCCUGAAGAUGAAGAGCCAUACAGGUGGCAAAUGAACACUAAGAACCUAGAAAGAGACACUGUAGCAAAACACACAACAAGAAGAUAGAGAAGACUGCUACCUUCAGAGCUGAAAACGACAUGUUAUCAUCUUUAAAGGCUGUAGGAGCUUCGUGACAGCUAUUUGCAUGCAUCCUGCAAGAGAGCUGUGUGUAAGAAUAGAAAUGUGUUUAGCUCAGGGAUCAAGAGUGAGCUGAGAGGAAUGCCCAGCUUCACCACAAGCAAUUUCCAUCCAUAGCUGAAUUGAGCUUGCACAGGUGGAAGAGGCACAUGUCACCUUCGCACAGGAGUUAACUGCAAAUCAUUCAAGGAGCUUUUUAAAAAGUUAAAAUCAUCCCUGAACACAAGCAACAGAAGUAACCUUGCAAAUUACAGAGAUGCCAUCUGAACAGUUAUCUGCUGCAUCUGAGAUGAUUCUGACAUAAGGAGCUUAUCAUUUCUCUUCUUUAAGUAUGUUACUCAGUGUUGGUGGGGGUUCUGUGCUGUAACACAACCCUUGGUACCAAAAGGACUCAGGAAUGAGAGAAGUAUUAUUCCUGCUUCCUGAGAUCAAACACCAGGAUGGAGCCAUUGCAGUGGCUGUUAAAGAACUAAAGCUUUACUUCCUGCAUGAUGGAACUGGCUUAGUACCUAGUUUGAUGACAACAGCUGCUAACAGUUAGGGCCAAAAUCUUGGCACUGUAAUCUGACAAUUCUGAGCAUUUAAAGCUACAGAUCAACCUACAUCCUGACACAUGACAGCAGAGUCCUAAACACGAAUGGCCUCAUUUAAAAGUGCUAGUGAGUACUGCCAGACAGAGCAAGACAAAACUAUUUCCAUUAUGUAAGAUUUGGUCCCAUCCACUACCAUCCUUUCCUCCUAACUACAUAUGUUUAAGGAACACCAUGCUGUUUGUAAAAAGAUCCAGCAACAGAGGGAAAACAGAGAAAGGGGUGACCCAGCAUGAAGGAAAUGGACGUGAACAUUUCAGGCAACCUGAUAUUUCCCUGCAGAAUUGUUUUUUCUUUUAAUGGAUUGCCUUAAUUUCCUAGAACAAUAAACUCCAGUUGCAUUCUUUUGUUUUUCCCACUUUAGAACAUACAGAAGAAUUUAAUAGCACAAGACUGAAAGAAGCAGAGCUAAGACAGGGAGGUUAAACACCAUAAAGCAUAAAAGUGGAGAUACAUUGGCUCAGAUUCCCAACCCCAACCUCAUACAGCAUUUAAUCUGCCCUAUGAUAUGAAGUACACCCACCUAUAU